AAUUGGUCUCAAUCUAUCCCAUCAUUCCUAUCUUGUAUACCUCGAGGAUUAUCUUCCCAACAUACAUCUGAUCAAGAGUGGCUUCACAGUGCCUAUAGGAAAACAGGCAUUAACAGGCAUUAACUUUUUAAAUGAAGGCUGAAUUAUGCAUGUCUUAGGUUGCCAUGUUAAAUAUCUAACCAGCUAUGAUCCCUCAUUUCCCCUGUUAUCUCCCAACCACAUCUUGUUGAUAGUGGUGUUGGUUAAAGAACAUAUCAACAUAAAUGGCCAA
rnacentral:lncRNA from 1 species